rnacentral:lncRNA from 1 species
GAACUUUUGAAAAAUGAAUUCAUAUUAGAUCAACAAAACUAAAUACUAGAUAUCAAAUUUUGCGAACAAACUAUGACGGUAAAUUCUAGAUCUUUGGCCGAUAUAACUCUUCUUUGGCCGUUACAACGGUUUGCGACAUAUGCAAAACACAUUUUCUAGUAAAAAUAAGCCCGGCUCUUUCAAGUCCUAGCUCUUUUCUUUGACCUAAAAUCAUGGAUAGAUUUUGUUAUUAACAACACAUCCAAAUUACAAAUUUAAAGAAACAAUCAAUAGUUUUUGAUAGCCUUGUACAACACAAAGUACAAAAGCAUUGAGAGUAGAAGGGGAAGAAAUAUCACAAUCCGUUUAGGCGCCUUGACUGCAAAACUAUCACAUCCUUCUUCGAAAAUCGUUUCCAAUUUAGGCUGCGAGAUGCUCCUAGAUAAUCGUCUCUGCUGAAUCCGAUGAGAUAGUGAAGGUGUGACCUCUCCCCAUGUUUGAAUAAACCUCAUUUCAUUCGCCAUUGAUGCAAUUUUAAGAGUUUUGUUGUCUUGAAAUGAGUAGAGGAAAGAAGAUUAAGGUGUUAUGUAUGAAAGAUUUGAUUGUUUAAUUAGUG